rnacentral:rRNA from 1 species
AUUGAACGCUGGCGGCAGGCUUAACACAUGCAAGUCGAGCGAGAGGCGGACGGGUGAGUAAUGUCUAGGAAACUGCCAGAUGGCGGGGGAUAACUACUGGAAACGGUAGCUAAUACCGCAUACCAUCAGAUGUGCCCAGAUGGGAUUAGCGAGUAGGUGGGGUAAUGGCUCACCUGGGCGACGAGCCCUAGCUGGUCUGAGAGGAUGACCAGCAACACUGGAACUGAGACACGGUCCAGACUCCUACGUGAGGUAGCAGGGGGGAAUAUUGCACAAUGGGCGAAAGCCUGAUGCAGCAAGGCCGCGUGUGUGAAGAAGGCCUUCGGGGUGUAAAGCCCUUUCAGCGAGGAGGCGUUACUCGCAGAAGAAGCACCGGCUAACUCCGUGCCAGCAGCCGCGGUAAUUC